rnacentral:rRNA from 1 species
GAUUUCUGGUACGGUUCGCCUGGUCCGCCGCCGUUUCAGGCGUGUGAGUACCGGUGCGGGCCUGCCAUCCUUCCGGGGCGCGCGUCUACCCUUCACUGGGCCGGGCGCGCCACCCGGAUCGUUUACUUUGAAAAAAUUAGAGUGUUUAAAGCAGGCGUCGCCGCUCUGAAUACAUUAGCAUGGAAUAAUGGGAUAGGACUUGGGUUCUAUUUUGUUGGUUUCUAGGACCGAAGUAAUGAUUGAUAGGGACAGUUGGGGGUGCUGGUAUUCAGCGGCCAGAGGUGAAAUUCUUGGAUUCGCUGAAGACCAACUUAUGCGAAAGCAUU